UACGGGGGGGGCAAGCGUUGUUCGGAAUUACUGGGCGUAAAGGGCUCGUAGGCGGCCAACUAAGUCAGACGUGAAAUCCCUCGGCUUAACCGGGGAACUGCGUCUGAUACUGGAUGGCUUGAAUCCGGGAGAGGGAUGCGGAAUUCCAGGUGUAGCGGUGAAAUGCGUAGAUAUCUGGAGGAACACCGGUGGCGAAGGCGGCAUCCUGGCCCGGUACUGACGCUGAGGCGCGAAAGCGUGGGGAGCAAACAGG
rnacentral:rRNA from 1 species